ensembl:lncRNA
GAGAGAGGGGGCAGAGAGAGAAGAGAGCAGAGAGAGAGAGAGAUACUUAGAGAGAGAGAGAGCUACAGAGAGAGAGAGAGAUACAGAGAGAUACAGAGAGAGAGAGAGAGAGAGAGAGAGAAGGAGAACUCUUCUACCUGUUGAAACCAUUGGCCCUUCUGCCUCUGGCUCCCCUCCACCACCUUUUAUUUAUGGUUGGAGGCUUGGUGUCUUCAACAGUCUGGCUCUAUGUGUUAAUAGACAGGAGGCUUGGUGUCUUUAACAGUCUGGCUCUAUGUGUUAAUAGACAGGAGGCUUGGUGUCUUUAAC